rnacentral:rRNA from 1 species
AUUGAACGCUAGCGGGAUGCUUUACACAUGCAAGUCGAACGGAGUGGCGGACGGGUGAGUAAUAUAUCGGAACGUGCCCAGUAGCGGGGGAUAACUACUCGAAAGAGUGGCUAAUACCGCAUACUAUUGUUGCGGCCGAUAUCGGAUUAGCUAGUUGGCGGGGUAAAGGCUCACCAAGGCAACGAUCCGUAGCUGGUUUGAGAGGACGACCGGCCACACUGGGACUGAGACACGGCCCAGGCUCCAACGGGAGGCAGCAGUGGGGAAUUUUGGACAAUGGGGGAAACCCUGAUCCGGCCAGCCCGCGUGUAUGAUGAAGGACUUCGGGUUGUAAAGUACUUUUGGCAGGGAAGCGGUAUCUGCAGAAUAAGCACCGGCUAACUACGUGCCAGCAGCCGCGGUAAUUC